UGUUAAAAGAGGUGAGAUAUCUGGAAAAAAAUUAGGCUUAGUGUGAAAAAAAAGAAGCAACUGACCAAUAAACUACCUAGAAAGCAUCCAGCCUGGAUCUCAGCUUGCAAACUUUGCCUGGGACAACACAUAAUCUACUGACAUUUUGGAACUCCAGGAGAAAACCAGAAUGUUUUCACCAGCAAAGGUCUCUUGGAAUUGGUUGAAAGAAGAAUGGAACAGUCCUGGUUCUUGCGCUUCCUUUUCUUAAGCUGCCAAGCCAGCAGUGGGAAGCUCCUGCACACCAUGCGGAGUCGCUUGACCUGACAGCCAUAGUUUGGAAGGCCUAGCACCAGCUACCCUUCCUGAUGCUUGCAUCUGCCAUCUCCGUCUCACACCUUUUCCAGCCGGAGGGACAGAAAGAAACACAUCAACGUGCCUGAAACUAUGUGCAAGAAACAUACACUCCUUUUAAAACA